rnacentral:lncRNA from 1 species
UGAAAGGGUCAAUGAAGGAUGUCAGCAGUUUGGGUGGCCUGUCUGAGCGCCCACUUUGGAAGCCCGAGCAGGACACCUAGAUGGCUUAUGAUGUUGAGGAUGGUCUUACUUCUCCAUGUUCUGAAACCAGUUUAAACAAAAACAAAAACCAGACAACAACCUCGCAAGGAGCUCAGGGUAAACAAACAGCCUUUUUCUGGAAAGUAAAAUGUUUCCCCAAGAUGGGGAAAUUGAGAUGAGAGCUCGUCCAGAAGAAUACCCAUCAAUGUGCACUAAGUAGAAAAAUCAGCCAGAAGACUGGGAGCUUUUAAUAUCAGGAAAC